AUGUUGCCGCCGGCCUCUGUCUCGCCGGAGUCCCGAUUGUUCGUUCCCCCAUGUCUGUUGCGCGCAGACGCCAUGGUGAUGCAUGCAGCAGCCGCGCCUCCUUCCGCCCCGGCUAUGCCACCCCCUCCUAGCCAGUCACUCCAGCGACGACGCGGCGGCGGCCGGGUCCAGACAGUAUGGCGCGGCGGUGUCCAAAUCCAGGGCGGCGAAGAUACACAGCAUUUCCCGCCGGACCAAGCAGGUUUGUCUCCUGUCCUCUCCCACCCCCAUCUCACUAACAGCCGCGGCCACUUGCAGCUAGCUGCUUCAGAGUUGAAGUCGUCUUCCAGCAGCGACGCCCUGCUACAGCCUCGACAGCAGAACCUCGGCACCUCCCCCGCGAGCACCGCCCAAGGAAGCCACAACCCUCGCAUGUGA
rnacentral:rRNA from 1 species